ACACGUAUCCACGUAUCAACCCCUCUGUGCAAACCUAUUUUGGAAAGGCUAGGUUGGAGUGCUUCUGCUCGCAUGGGUCCUAAUGAUGGGAGCUUCGGCUCAGGGCUCGAGCAGUUGCGCGUUUGACAAUCUGCCGCUACUUUUCCAUCGUUGGCCCCUUUUUAUCUACCUUUUAACCCCUUGUACUUCUUUUGUACUGAACCAAUUCCUCGAUGCUCUCUCUGAGAGCGACGAAAGAUAUUACGAAACUUAAGAA
rnacentral:misc_RNA from 1 species